GUUGAGCCCUCCUUCUCUGCCAACGCACGCGACCUCCUUUGCCUCUCCCCAAAAUCUCUCUCGUUUCCAUCCCAUCCCAUCCGCCGCCGCCGCCGCCUCGCCCCUAUCUACCCCGUCCAAGCAAGGCGCCGGCAACUUGAGAACAGAGAAGGAGGAGAUGCAGGGUGGCCUCAUCGGAAGGGAGCGACGAUGGCGCACGUACGGGACGAGAUCGCCGACCUCCUCUACGUCGCCGGGGACGUGUGCCUCGUGCUGAUCCACAUAUACGGUGGCUGCGAGCAAUCCACCGGCGUUGGGUCGAUGGUGCCGUGCCUCGGCAGACGGCAUCAGGUAAGGUGGAUGAGAAGCAGCGCCCCCUCUCCCGAGCCCCAUGUCCAUGGCAACAACAGUGAGGUGAGCAGCGGCAAAGGCGCCUCCGCCGAGGUGGUGGUCGGCGUUUGACGUCUAGCAGAGGUGUGUGGACUAGCAGCGGCCGCGGCGAUGUAGAGAAGUUGGAGGCCAGGAGGCCGAGAAAGAAGAUGGAGAUGGCGAGGCAGAGGAAGCGGUGGGCGGAGGCAGAGGAAGGAGAGUGGGCAAACUGCAUAGGGAGAUGCAGAGGAGACGGGUCGGCAGCAGGCAGAACGAGCAGCUGGGCGGCAAGGGCAUGGGGCUGGAGGAACCAAGAUCGACACUUCUCCAUCUGAUCUUCCGCGAGGGAACGAGUGCACUUGUACCAUCUCAGCCAGGCGAGAAAAUUGCAACAUAUCUUGUUCAUCCAGUAGAUAUGUCAACAGGAACAGAUUUGAAGGAAGAACAAGCAUUCAACCAACUCAGCCGAUCUGCUGAAUCACGAGCACUGGAGCGGUCUUUUCAGUUGAUUCCCAUGCCGCUCCUUUCGUGCUUGCCUUGAAAGGAAAGAAGGACCCUGAGAAGCAAGUAGAUGAGACUGAAAAGAAUGAGACCGCUGACAAGUCUGUUGGGUAUGAACUCCCAGAGUCCCUUUCUUUUGAUGAUUAUGCUGAAAGCGUAGGUAAGAUCAACAUCUCUACUGAAUCACAAAAGGAGAAGCAACUGAGUCAAGUCACGCCGAUAGUCAUCUUGCCAUGGUGGAAUCUCUCUCGUUGAUGUUCCCAGAUGUGUCUGCUGACUUCAUUCUUGAAGCACUAAAGGCCAAUGAAUUCGAUGCAGUAUUCACCGUUGAUAUGCUUUCCAAACUGCCAUCAGGGAAUAGACCUCCAGGAGGCCAGCCUGUACCAAGACCACUCCCAAGGCGAAUGCAACAGCCUAUGGGUGGUAUGCAAAGAAUGCCUCCUGGUGCAAACAUGGGUGCCUUUGGUGCAGGGCCCCAAGCAGGCAUGGUUGUGAUGAAUCCCAGUAACAUGCCAAUGCAGAGAGGCGCAGGUGGCCAGUUUCAUCCACAUCCACACCAGUUGAGAAGGAAGGCAGAUCAAGGGAUGGGGAUGCAGAACCCCGGGUACCCUCAGCAGAAGACGCGCUUCUGACAUCCCCCCUCCUGGGCACCAACAGAUAUAAAUGUACUCACAACAUCGUCAUGUAUGUGCGUCAGCCAGAUAGAUAUACAUUGUCUGGUGACCGUGUAAGCCUGUUGUUGUUAUUGUUGUUGUAGAUUUAUAAUGCUUAUCUACUAGCUUGGUAAGUUAAAGUAGCCGUAAGGGUCAUUGUAGAGGAAAUUUGGAUAAUUUCCUUUCACAGUGGCUGAGUUAAGCUGGUGAUUAGGGCGGCGCCGCGGCGCUGAGGAAGGGGCCGUGGACGAGGCCCAGUGUAGCGAAGCCAGCCCGAGCAAGGCAGCCAUCAUGGUGAGUUCGAGCAGGCAGCGGGUGGCAGGCAGUGAGAGCGGCCUCCUCAAGCGCGGUGUCAUCAUGGAGAUCGAGUUCGUAGCCUCCUCGCACUAAGGUUACAUUUCAAUUCUCUUUCUUUCAUGAGUAGGGUUUGCUGAUGCAUCUUUGAAAGUUGUUUUUGCCAUGCCAGGCUUGUCUAUUUGUGUUGUUUCAGUGUAUUACCUACUAGAACAAUUACUAGCAUAUAGUCCUCCACAAUCAUUUUUAUCUUCUGACAUAAUAAGCAGAGUUGCUGCUGCAAACUUGGCAUUCAGUGUAUUAUGUACUAGAACUUUUAUCUUCUAAUAAGCAUAUAAUCCUCCACAAUCCUUUUUAUCUUCUAGCAUUCAGUGUAUUACCUACUAGAACAAUUACUUGGCAUCUUUAAGUUUCAAGAGAGGUGAUCGGUUAUUGCAGAAUGAAUGAGAGUGUUUGCAAAUGUAGUUAAUUUGGUCAAUCUUGCCUGAAGAUUCAUGGUGACCUUGUUCAUGUCAAAGGUAUCUCCCUUCUGAAUAUCACUUUUUUUUUUUGUAGUUUUCUAAAAUUUUAAAUGUGAUCCUUUUCUUUUGAAUGUCAUAAUGGCCUUUGAUACCACACAACUCUUGCCCCAUCUUAAGUUUGACAACCUUUUGAGUUGCUGAUAUUGGUACUUGAGCAGCAAUUAUUGUUUUUAGGCCUGAGAAAAUCAAAGUCACUCAUUAUGAGAUAUUGUAAAUAUGUUACGGAUUCAUAUAUCAAGUAUUUAUCAGGUAGCAGAACAAUCUAUUUGUUUCCUUUGGUAUUCUCUGCUUUGGUAAUAUCAUAUGGCAUUGAACUUGGUCUUUAUUUUAAGCGCAUGUCCUUAUUGGUAAAACUUAGUUGUAUGCCAAUGGCUCCAUCCACCAGCUUGAAUUUUCUCGAUUCAUUCAGGCUUUAUCUCCAGAGAUUUUGGCAUGUCCAGUUAUUCUUCUUCAGCAUUGAUUUUUGUGAAUUAACUCAGUGUGUACCUCGCUCCAAAGAUUUUGGCAUGUUUUGUAAUUAUUCCAGAGCAUAUUGAUUUUUUUGUAUUCAAUCUGACUGUACCUCCAGAUAUUUUGGCAUGUUUAGUACUUCAGUUAUGCUUCUCGAGCAACGUUGGAAUGGUUCUCAAACUACGUAUCUUGUGAUCACUUGAGCUUUGGUGAAAACUAGAGUGCAGCUUAAUUUGUUAAUAUAUUAAUUCAUGCAGUGGAGAAGGUAUGCCAAACAUAUUUGAUCAUUUCAGCAUUUAUGAACAAUAUAUUCUGGCACUUAAACAAUGUAGAUUUGCUGAUAUUGUUCAGUGUACAUCUGUGUAUGCAUAUUAAUGAGCUCCAUAAAAUUGUGGUACAGGAAAUAAAUGCAAGAGAUAUGAAAUAACCAGGUUGUGGUACACCUCUUCUCAAUUUUUUGCCCAUUUAGACUAUCUCGAAUGCAAUCUACCAUCAGGAUAUUGGCAUCUCAUCAUCUACUACUAUUCAACGAUUUGUCGAUUUUAUGUCUCUGUAGGUAUUGUAAGGUUUUUCAGUCGUGCGACAUGUCUUCAUUACUUACCAUUUUCUGAUAUUCAUGGUUAGCUAUCAUUUUCUAUUGCUAUAUACUCCCUUUGUCUCACAUUUUCUUUUGCUAUACAGCUCGUCAAAAUCUUGUAUUUUUGUUGUUUCUUUGUGAUUAGGUAGUAUGCGACAUCUUCUUUUAAGCAUUUUAUUGGGACUUAUUGGAUGUUCUUUCCUAGAUGUUUGUUCAUUUACUAGACAGUAUGCUACCAUGCUCUAUCAUGCGUACAAUUUGUGUGUGUGCCGUCUACCGUGUAACACUGUGUGUUACUCAUCCCAUUUUGUUUGUGCCAGUGCCUUUAAAUGUGUAUGUACUAAAGUUAGUCAAGUACAGUUACUAUCUGAGGCUGUAACUUUGCAUAGCCUGGACAUUUUGGUGUUUGCAAGGGGUCUACUUGUGUUGCAUUUUCUACACCUGAGAAAAUAUCUGAGGCUGUAAGUUUGCAUAGCCUGGACAUUUCACUUGCAAACCUUGUGAGCUACUGAUUGUACAAUAUGUACUAUGUUGCUUUUAUGAUGUCUUUAAUACGAUCCUAUCAAGGGUCCAGUUGUAUUUUGUUUGUGUAAGCUGCGCUGUAGAGCUUUAUGAAGGAUUCAGGAGCCAAACUUGAAGACAUUUAUGGUCAGGUGCUUCCAGCUUUGCAAUCCUAUUAGAAUUUUGUGGGGUAUGUUUGUUUGGUUUGGAUAUGCAGACUACAACAUAAAGAGAAGGAUACCGUUUUGUGUGGGUCAUCUAGCUUGGGCAUAGUAUGGGUACUUGUGUUCUGUUUUUUUAUUUACAAAUGAACAUUGCCACUAACACAGAUUGACUAUUUAACCGAUGUGAUUUAUUUCA